rnacentral:lncRNA from 1 species
UUUAUGAGAAUUAUGCAGAGAUAGGUAACAGAUGGAGAAGAAAUUUGAGCUUUGGAGGGGGAUACCUGAUAUCCUUUGGAGAAUAAAUGCUGAAGAAGCAGAAGUGUGUCUUGUUGAGAAGAUUCAAAGGAGGGGCUACAAAGAAGAAGGUCAUCAAUAUAUUGAAUAAGGUUUUGACAUAAUUUGGUGUCAGAAGUAGAAUUGAAGCUGGUUAGUUGGACAGAUGGACAACCCCUGAAAUUGAGUGAAUUGCCUGUGCUGAGCCCUUUUGAGCUCUCCACCUCCGUGGCUGACCUUUUCUACCCUGCUGAAUCUCCUCUCAGAUUCCUGGACUCCUUUUUGGUUCCUCCAAUCAACUUUUUUUCCAUGGAAUUGCUAAAAAUGGGAGCCUCUCUGUUUCUGCAGCCCUAUAAACUGAAAUUAAAUUUUAAGGGACAAGUUGCCUUUCUGAUGGUUGGGCUACAUGGCAAGUUCUCCAGACCACCUGAUGCCAUAACCAAAGACAUUCCAGCAGCAAUCCAGGACAUAAUGUUGCUGGCUUCAUGCUAUGGACAGCUUUUCCCAAGAAUGCUAGCCCAGCACUUUGAGAUGAUAAUCAAUGUUUAUGGAACAGACAAAAUUCAACUUAACAAUGGACUGCAGUCCCAGCUUUAUCAGUUAUGUGUGGUCUUGGACAAGUUAUUUUACUUCUCUGAACUCAGUUUUCUCAUUCAUAAAGUGGAAAUAAUAAUCUCUAUCUUAUGGGAUUGUUGAAAGGACUAGAAUGAAUAUAUGCAAAGCUCUUGGUAGAAAUUGAGAACUCAAUGAAGACAGAAGAGAUGUAAGUCAAUAUGAUGAGUAAGUCAAAUGAUGCUGGAGUUGGGUCUUGGAAGGAAAACAACAUUCAAAUAGGUAGAGGUAGAAAGAAAAGAGAUUCCAACCAGAAUGAGUGUGAACAAAGAGGAAGCCACAGUACAGUGGGAUGUGUGCAAUUACUGAAAACUUUGCAUAGAUUUGGCUAGAGUAGUAGAGUUCUCCUUCAAUAGGAGCAGUGGCAGAAAAAGGACUGGAGGGAAGGAUGGACUCAGACACAGAGGGCAACAAGAUAAGGGCAAAGGGUGUGUGUCUCCUUGGAGGCCACCAUGUGCUGCCCUGCUAUUGUCUGGGGACUGGGUGAAAGUCAAUAUUGCCCUGCUCAGGACCAAGAGACAUUGCUACCAUUGGCACUGCUUGGAUGUUCCUGAUGCUCCCAGAACCUCUGUCACUUAGGAAAUUACAAGGGUUUAGAUACUUUGUACCAGAAAUGAGGUAAAAGCCAAAUAUAUAUUUAUUUCUCCUUAUAUAUAUAUAGAGAGA